GGGCGCUUAGCUCAGUGGUAGAGCACCUCGUUUACACCGAGAUGGCCGGGGGUUCGAAUCCCUCAGCGCCCACCA
rnacentral:tRNA from 1 species